GAAAGGUAAAACCUAGUUGAGUUACACAUUUUGUUAUAAAUAUUGUAUAGCGGAAAAGAAUUCAGAAAUUAUUUUUGAAAAAACAAUGGGUACCAAAUUCCUUUUUCUGGUGAUUUGCUUUGCCUGCAUUUCACUUUGUCUGAUGGGAUCAGUCGAAGGCAAACAUUAUGACCCCAAGACUCCUCCUCGUUCGCCUUCACCUGAACGACCUCGUCCAGAUAGUCCUACCGACCCUUUGCACAAUCCUGGACGCCGUCAUGGACGCAAGUAACAAAGAAGAUAUGUACCGAUUGCAUACACAGUUAUUUUGUCAAUUGGCUAGUUUUGUAGGUAUAUGAAAAGGGCAUAAUAAAAUAUUCAAAAUUCUAUAAA
rnacentral:lncRNA from 1 species